CAGCAGCCGCGGGAAUACGUAGGGUGCAAGCGUUAAUCGGAAUUACUGGGCGUAAAGCGUGCGCAGGCGGUUUGUUAAGACAGAUGUGAAAUCCCCGGGCUCAACCUGGGAGCUGCAUUUGUGACUGGCAAGCUAGAGUGUGGCAGAGGGGGGUGGAAUUCCGCGUGUAGCAGUGAAAUGCGUAGAUAUGCGGAGGAACACCGAUGGCGAAGGCAGCCCCCUGGGCCAACACUGACGCUCAUGCACGAGAGCGUGGGGAGCAAACAGGAUUAGAUACCCCCGUAGUCCCUGUCUCUUAUAC
rnacentral:rRNA from 1 species